rnacentral:rRNA from 1 species
GAUGAACGCUGGCGGCGUGCCUAAUACAUGCAAGUCGAGCGAACAGACGAGGAGCUUGCUCCUCUGACGUUAGCGGCGGACGGGUGAGUAACACGUGGAUAACCUACCUAUAAGACUGGGAUAACUUCGGGAAACCGGAGCUAAUACCGGAUAAUAUAUUGAACCGCGGGGUUCAAUAGUGAAAGACGGUUUUGCUGUCACUUAUAGAUGGAUCCGCGCCGCAUUAGCUAGUUGGUAAGGUAACGGCUUACCAAGGCAACGAUGCGUAGCCGACCUGAGAGGGUGAUCGGCCACACUGGAACUGAGACACGGUCCAGACUCCUACGGGAGGCAGCAGUAGGGAAUCUUCCGCAAUGGGCGAAAGCCUGACGGAGCAACGCCGCGUGAGUGAUGAAGGUCUUCGGAUCGUAAAACUCUGUUAUUAGGGAAGAACAAAUGUGUAAGUAACUAUGCACGUCUUGACGGUACCUAAUCAGAAAGCCACGGCUAACUACGUG